GUCUACGGUCAUGCUACCCUGAACAAGCUCAAUCCCUUCUGAUCUCGAAAGCUAAGCAGGGUCAUGCCUGGUUAGUACUUAGGUGGGAGACCACCUAAAACGACCAGGUGCUGUAGACA
ensembl:rRNA 5S_rRNA 5S ribosomal RNA